rnacentral:rRNA from 1 species
UACAGAGGGUGCAAGCGUUGUUCGGAAUCAUUGGGCGUAAAGGGCGCGUAGGCGGUCAAGUAAGUCGAAUGUGAAAGCCCACGGCUCAACCGUGGAGGGUCAUUGGAAACUGGGGGACUUGAGUGCAGGAGAGAAGAGUGGAAUUCCACGUGUAGCGGUGAAAUGCGUAGAGAUGUGGAGGAACACCAGUGGCGAAGGCGACUCUUUGGCCUGUAACUGACGCUGAGGCGCGAAAGCGUGGGGAGCAAACAGG